rfam:Candidatus Phytoplasma aurantifolia strain WBDL phyWBDL_0054, whole genome shotgun sequence.
GCAAGCCGGAUGCUUGGAAACUUGCUUGUCCGGUUUAGAGGGAGGCUGUUUGUAAUAGAUAAUCGAAAUAUAAAUCUGAUUAUUGAAACGUAAAUAAUCUAUCCCUAU